rnacentral:rRNA from 1 species
GACGAACCGUACGAACGUUAUUCGGAAUCACUGGGCUUAAAGGGUGCGUAGGCGGCGCGGUAAGUUGGGUGUGAAAUCCCUCGGCUCAACCGAGGAACUGCGUCCAAGACUGCCGUGCUCGAGGGAGACAGAGGUGAGCGGAACUUAGGGUGGAGCGGUGAAAUGCGUUGAUAUCCUAAGGAACACCGGUGGCGAAAGCGGCUCACUGGGUCUCUUCUGACGCUGAGGCACGAAAGCUAGGGUAGCGAACGGG